rnacentral:rRNA from 1 species
AGAUUGAACGCUGGCGGCAUGCCUUACACAUGCAAGUCGAACGGCAGCGCGGGGCAACCUGGCGGCGAGUGGCGAACGGGUGAGUAAUAUAUCGGAACGUACCCUGGAGUGGGGGAUAACGUAGCGAAAGUUACGCUAAUACCGCAUACGAUCUAAGGAUGAAAGUGGGGGAUUCGCAAGAACCUCAUGCUCCUGGAGCGGCCGAUAUCUGAUUAGCUAGUUGGUGGGUAAAGGCCUACCAAGGCAUCGAUCAGUAGCUGGUCUGAGAGGACGACCAGCCACACUGGAACUGAGACACGGUCCAGACUCCUACGGGAGGCAGCAGUGGGUAAUUUGGACUAAGUGGGCGCAAGCCUGAUCCAGCAAUGCCGCGUGAGUGAAGAAGGCCUUGGUGUAAGCUUCUUUGUCUAGGAAGUAAACGGUCGU